ACCAUAUAGUCAUUAAACUGCAUGCAAUUCCUGUUUUAAGAAUACUUGCCCAAAUAAUGGCUGCAUUGUCACCUCGGUCACUUUAAAAUAUGGGCUCCACAUUUCACCUUCCCCUCACACCACAUAUAUUUACACGAUGCAAUAAAAGAUUGUAUGUCAAUCUCAUGCCUUGUUUUGAAAUCGAUUAAGUAAAAAAUGGUACCCUUAUGUGUGCACUUGCCAGAGAGGUGCAUUCAAUACUUCCCUACUUGAGGGGAUCGCAUAUACUAAAUUAAAAUGCAGUGAUCACAUCACAAAUUAUAAAUUGUUUUCUUAAUUUACACACACCGUACACCUGCUUUCCCAAAUCGGCAUUACCAUAUCACCAUAUAUCCAACCUUUAGGCGCAACAGGCAACCUACAAUUGGAGUGAUGGUUUAGUAAGAAAGAACAUUUAGCACAAAGAAAGAUGAAUUUUGAAAGAAAAAAACUUAGAAAAAAUUGAUGCUCGACUCACUACUAAUACCAUCUAAUAAUAUGCAAGAUAGUAAUAAGAGGUCAAGCCAAUCAAGUGAAAGACGUUUGAACUGGAAUUAGACACAUUGUACAUCAUCAAUCAUUAGGAGCUGGACCCCAUAGAAUCUUUUCGGGUUCAGUUGUAUGAUUAGAAUUUGGCUUCAAACUAACUAAACUAAAGAGUUUUUUUUUCUUGUCCACCCUUCAGUUGCCAAAUUAUGAUUCAUAAAGUUAUAGCGCAUCUUGGAAAUGUUAUAAUAGUUUUGGUUACACGGUUCAUGAUAUACCUAUGGAUAUUAUACUGACUGAUAGUCCAUGGUUCAUUUGAGCUCACUUUGGCGCGAAUGCAGUGAUGAAGGUUCGACAUGCAGUUUCGGAUUUCCCUUCUCAUUCAGUGCAGCUUCCCUCAUGAUGUAUGCCACAUGCUAAUAUGAACUUUCUCAUUGUAUAUAAAUUUUCAUGAGAGAAAAAGAGAAAAGAUGCUCCAGUUUUCCUUGCAGCUCAAUUUUCACACCCUUCCCAGGUUAAUAUUCACUAUUUUCUUUGGACCAUCUUUAUGCUGCCUUUUCUCUGUACACACCUCAUCAAAACUGAACAAAGAGGCAUCACAUAGGUUUAGAUGGCGCGUGUGAACAUGGUUUAAGAUAUGAUGUUUCUUGGAGAGAGCAAACUUACCUUUUCCAUUUCAUGGUUUAUUAACUAAAAUAUUGAUCGACGGCACAUUCUGAUGCUUCAGCUUUGUUUUUGCCUUCUUGUCACUUAAUUAGGCACUAUAGUAAGAAAGCAUACUGAAUGAGACUCGAAGGAAUUUUGAUGUCAACUUGUAAUUAGCAAAACUUAAAAUGAUCUCUUUAAACAAGUAUCAGAUUAAAGAAACCAAUAUAGAACCAUAUUAAAUAGGGACUGAGCUUAGCUGGAAGGUGAGAAAGAAAUUACAAUUGCUAUUGGUGCAACAUUACAAAAUUUAGCUUAGCUAUCUAUCAGAUUUCUUGACUCAAAUUCCAGCUAGCAAAGAAGAAGAAUGAAUCCCCAGAAAAACCAUGCUAAACGAAAUAGAGACUCAUCGAUUGACCUCAAUCACAUUAUUUGUUAAAUAGAGACUGAGCAAAGAGGGAAGGUCAGAAAGAAAUUACAAUUGCUAUUGGUGCAACAAUACAAAUUUUAGCUUAGCUAUCUAUCAGAUUUCUUGACGCAAAUUCUAGCAAGCAAAGACGAAGAUUGAAUCCCCAAAAAUCCAUGCUAAACCAAAUAGAGACUCAUUGAUUUACCUCAAUUAAAUUGUUUAUAAAACAUUGUACAUGAACUUGUUUUAAAUACAUGACAAAAUCUAGCUGAGCUAAACCUUCCUGGAAUCUUAUGUGGAUUUUUAGAGUUUAGACCAAGGAGAAAUGGGGAAAUAAUUCAUGAUAGAGGGUAGUGCAUGCAGGAGCCUCCGAAUAGCGGGUAGCCUAGCGAGGUUUGUAGGAAAAAGGUGGCUUUUGUCUCAUCAGUGAGUUUGUUGCCCAAUGCCCGUGCUACUGAUAUAAUGUCGUUCAUGACAUACCUCGCCCAGUUCCAAUUUGGGAUGUCAUCUAAAUUUUCAAGAGCCACAAAAUAUGCUGGAAGAAUAACUACAGAUCAAAUGGACCUCAAACUUUAUCUCACCGUGAACACCACAUAAAUCACAUUCUAACAUGGAGGCCUCAGCCAUCGCCAAGGCAUCUCAUGGAACAUGGGGGAAACUCCAAAUCGAACAGAGCAACACAAAAAUAGGAAUCAGGCAUGAGGAAAGGGGAAUAAGCUAACCUGGGUAAUGGGAUCAGCAGGUCGAGGAGGGUGCCACCGUGCCAGCGGCCUCCACAAGGAUAAUCUUGCACACGAUGUCGCCUCAAGCAAUGGAUCGCAACCACCAGAACCGAAGCACUUGUUGUUCAUGGUUUCAGUUAUGAGAUAUCCCGUCAACUGAGGUACAAAUCACAAAUAGGUCAGCUCACGAGCUAAAGAAUAUAAUCUUAUCCAAGAAAAGACAAAAUAGUCCAGAGCAGCAAAGCUUUAUUAAGUUCUUUACUAAGAAAGCGAACUUAGUAAUUACAGCCCAAACAGAGAAUAAAUGGUUUAGAACAGGCAUAAAUCUGAUCCAUCUUCCAUCAUCAAUAAUAAAGAUAGGAAAUCUUGAAAUCCUUGAUCCAAACAUCAGAAGUCACAAAAGUCGAAGCAAACAGUGAACUGAAAAUUACUCCGAAAAAAACUUUUAUUUUGUUGACUCUAGACGAAGCCCAUGCUUUGUUGUCCUGGCAAUACAACAAAUUACUGGCCCAAGCUUGAAGUACUAACAAGAACGAAUCCCUUUCGUUAUUAAUUCAUUCAAUGAACAGCAGAGAAAAUGGAUGCUUGUGCAGGCAUCGUAAUGAAUGGUACUUGAUUUAGAGAAAUAACUAUGCUAAUAUAUGACUUCGCUAACUAAUCAAUCUGCUGCAAUCACAGUUGGUGCAUAACACUAAACGAGCACUUGUGAUCAGGGCAACGGUUAUAGAUAAGUAAAGAGAAAUUACAAAACAAGGUAUGACGAGACUACCAAAUCAGCCUGAGAAAGUAGAAAGUAGGAUCAACGGAAACAUAACAAAGGAAACAGAAUAAUGAAUAUUUAGUGGAGAUGAGCUAGUUGAACCUACAGGCCAGAGGAAGAGCUCACCGGAAGGUUAGGCCAGCGAAUUUGGGACCGAUCCCUAGAAGGAAGAAGCGAAGAACUAAAGAACACAUCUUGUUCACGCCUAACUAUGUUGUGCAAUUGUGCCGAUGGCCUCGUCGUCUAAGGCAAAUACAUGUCUCCAUCAUAAAUCAAAAGCGUGAACUGGGAGGACUUCUGCAAUUGCUAAGCGAAUCAUGCAUACAACCAUGACAGUGGCUACAAAUUUGAGUUUCUUCACCUCCCGAUGCAAUUACAACAUAUGAUUAUGCACAUAUAUAAUAGUAGUAUGAUGGAUUAACUACCAUCAAGAAGAGAACAUAAACUGACAGAUUUUCCGGUAAAAAAAACUGGCUGCAUUAAUGUUUACCUUUCCCACUGCAUAACCAAAUGUCAUUAACUAUCAAAUUAGUCGCAAAUAAGCCAAAUAUCACCAACGGGUUGCUACCUUGAUGCUUUAUAUUUCUUCUAUGUGUCUUGCUGUCCCCUUCAAGUAACUGACGCGCCCGGUCGAUCCCAAAGGUUGCUAUUUCCUUGUGGAGUUUCUUAUUGACAUAGAUCUGAACAAAAAUGGAGGGACCAAAUAAAUUUCAGAUUUAGGAGUCAGGAACUAACAGUUGUAAAUCCACACCAAUGAACACAAAUACAACCUGAUUAUGUGGCAGACCUUUAACAGGAAAGGUAAAAUCUGUAGCAUAGUUUGCAACUUAAAAUUAUAGGUCACUAAAGUGCAUGCCACAACAUAAGCAAAAUUCAUCUAACAAACCUCGAGCUUGUGUACGACUGUCUUAUUAAGCACAUCAUGCUGACAUGCAAACUCGUGAUUGGAAAAAAGAAGUUACUCUAGCGAAAACUGGUGCUAAGCAGUAAUGGGAGCUAGAGGGAGCACCGCUUCUGAACAUUCUAAAACAAUGAAAAGGCGUGCUUACAUCUAUGAAGCUAAAAAUAGUACACCGAACCAUAUUGAUUGAAUACGGGUAACAACGGAAAAACAAUUAAUUGGAGUGCAGAAUCUGCAUAGAAUAGAACCGGAACACAUCAAUCUAGGCAUCUAACUAGCUUCUGCCAUCAGGGUUGCUUGCUAAUUGCAACAAUAUUCAUAACUGAAGAUUCAAUGAGAACUACCAAGGGAUAAAAAAAGGGAACUGAAUCUGUUCACUCAAUGUGUGCAUGACCUGCAAUGUCCUCACAUAUGAGUAAUUCAUCAAAGAAACCAUAAAAAAUUCAUCAAACAAAAAACACAAAUGGAAGGCAAGCUUACCUGAAUGGGGAUUGCCCGUGACCUGGAUCUCGUCGUUCGCGUGCUGGUGAUCUGCUACUAUUUGAACAACAACUCUGCCCGCUGAUGCUGUCCAAACUGUGCAAAUUUAUCCAUACUAUCCCUGCAAUUGUUAAGAUCAAAAUCAGCAUCUUUUACAACUAAUGCAGAGUAUGAAUUUCUCGGCAGACAAAAAAGGCUUUGUAGAUUCAGUAUAGUUGACACAAACAAAAUGCAGUACCUGCUUUCCUCAAGAACCCGUGUCUGAAAGAUGUGGAGAGAAAAUUGCAAAAUAUGAGCAUUAGUACUUCUUAGGUAUCACAGAAAUUCAAUGCAACUUCAACAAGACCAGCGCUUGCUUUUCACACUAUUGAAAAUUCACGUCUUCCAUAUUUGAUCCACCUUUCCGCUGGGCAAAACAACAAAUAUGUGGGGGCAAAAUAUCUAUUUAUGCUCAGAAAAGAAAUUACCAAAUAUCCGGCCACGAGCGCGUGUGUGAGAGGACCGAGGAGAGAGUGUGCGUGACAGCGAGAGAGGAUGAAGGCAAGGACGUGGGGGCUGAUCUCUCGGGUGGAUGGACGGCAGCGCGAAAGCCGGACGGAGCUGGCCGUCUCUGCAGCCCACGCUCCUCUUGCCGACGAUGGCGCCGUGGACCACCGCUGCGACUCAAGCUCCUCCCGGGGUCGCUGCUGCACGCGUGGAGAUGGAGGCGGGGUGCAGCCUUCCGUGCAUCGCGCACGAGCCCCAGCCUCCUCGCAGCUCCCGAUCCAGGAACGGGUCGAGCCGCCGCCAACCGUCAGAUCGAGCCCGACCUCGCCGGCGCAGGCCGACGCCGGCCGGUGACCCUCUCCCGUCAGCCGCCACACCUCACUCUCCUCUUCCCUCUCUCUUUCUCCCUCCUCUCCUUCCUUCUCUCUCUCUCAUCUUCUCUCUCUGCCGGGGUUCGUGCGGGAGGAGGGGAUUGGGAAGGCGGCGCAAAGGAGAGGGAGGAAGGAGAGGAGGCAGUGCGGAUAUUUUCUAGGGCUCGGCUCACUCCACCCAGAACGAGGUACACCUUAGUCAUGAUAAAAAGCAACUGAUUACUG
rnacentral:lncRNA from 1 species